GUGGGUUAUGUAGGUUAUAGGGUUAUAGGGUUCUAUAGGGCUGUGGGCUCAGUGCUCCGUGUCCCUCAGCCCCGCUGCCCUGGACGCGGUGCUGUUCAGCCGGUUGGCGCCGCUGCUGAAGGCGGAGCUGCCCAACGGGAAACUGCAGCAGCACCUGCGGGCACUGAGGAACCUGUGCGAGCUGUGCGCCACCAUCCAGAGCCUCUACUUCCCAUGGGACAGCGGUGACCCCCCCAC
ensembl:lncRNA